AUACGGAGGGGGUUAGCGUUGUUCGGAAUUACUGGGCGUAAAGCGUACGUAGGCGGAUUAGUAAGUUAGGGGUGAAAUCCCGAGGCUCAACCUCGGAACUGCCUCUAAAACUGCUAGUCUUGAGUUCGAGAGAGGUGAGUGGAAUUCCUAGUGUAGAGGUGAAAUUCGUAGAUAUUAGGAGGAACACCAGUGGCGAAGGCGGCUCACUGGCUCGAUACUGACGCGGAGGUACGAAAGUGUGGGGAGCAAACAGGAUUAGAAACCCUAGUAGUCC
rnacentral:rRNA from 1 species